AGGUUGCUGCUGAAAACAGCGCUGGCAUUGGAGUGUUUAGUGACCCAUUUCUUUUCCAAACGGCAGAAAGUGGUAAUUUUCCUAAAUCAUUUAUUCCCAAAUUAGCUUAAUUAUGAGUUUUUGUCAUUUGAAAUAAAUAAGGAUAUAAACUAAAUAUAGUGUUAAAAUCCAUAAAAUUUUCAAUAGUAUGGCCAUUCAAUUACUUUUAGAGUCUUAUUGGAUGCUUAUUCAUUAAAAUAUGUAUUAUAAUAUUCUUUCUAAUUAUGAAAAACUUUUGAAUGGUAUAUGAAAAUAAUUUUGUCUUGGGAGUCUCACUGUUGAUCAUUUGUUGUGAGUUUUUGGGCAAAUUGGAUAAUUACAUAAUUUCUCUUGCUCCUAUCUAUCCUUUUUUUUUUUUGUAAAUGUUAAAGAUGUAAAAAUGUAAUGUAAAUCUAAAUUUCAUUAUGUCAGUAUUCUCCAACUCCUUUUUAUUAUUUAUACUAUAUAUAACCCAACUUUAAGGAAUAGUUCUAUGAAAUAAAUAAACUGCAUUCAUUAUUGUUAAAUCAGAAGUAAUUUCUUCCCCAUGAAUAAAAAUACUCUUCAGAAGACUAUACAGGCUAACUUGUUAUACCUUACUGGGUUAAUAUUCCAUCCACAAGUGGAAAAAACUCAGCUUCUUAACUUCCCAUCAGUAUUAUUUCUGGUAAACAUAGAAUUUAUUUUGGCUUUAAGAUAAUAGAAAUACCUCUUGCACUUCCAUUUUCAACUUGAUAGAUCCUUAGAAAUGCAGGUGAUAUUUUUAGAAGUCUCUAUAUUGGAUUUAUGAAGUUUCUUUCUGGCUCAAUAAAUGCAAGCUUUGUAUGGUGUAUGCUUUGGAAAGUUGUAGACACUUACACAUACUAGAAAAUUUAUGCAUCUCAUUAGGCUAGCUAUGUCCUCAAAGUGUUGGAGAACACUUAUCUGAAAGAUGAAAUGAUUUAUUUAUAAAACAGAAAGUUUUGAUACUACAGUAUUGAAUCUUGACUUGAAUCAAAAUGGAUAAAUUCACUCUAUGAAAAUUGAGAAAUAAUUGGAUUUUGGUACAUAAAAGUCCAGAAGUAGAAGAUAGAUUAUUUAAAAUAGAGAAAGAUCUUCCAACUACAGAAGAGAGCCAGGAUUAUUCUUCAGACAUCAUGAAGUCACAAAAGGAAAGCACAAGCAGAAAAAUUUGAGAAAAAAAAUUAUUAAAGCAAGUUAAUCAAAUUACCAUUUUUUCAAAGUGUUGUUUACCGUAUUUAAUUAUUUCCCAUCUAUUUAAUAUUUUUGAUCACUUUUAAAAUAUCUUAAAAUCAUGCAUUUAAUAAAUGUUUGGUUACCUUAUAAAUUCAAUUUUCUCUAUACUUGAGUAGUUCCUUGUAUCUGUUGUUGAGGUUCAUUUGAAAAUAUGUAGCUUGUUUGCAAUUUGCCUUUUACACACACAUAUCAUAUAUAUAUAUAUAUAUAUAUACAUAUACAUAUCAGACAUAAUUAUAACCAUAUGUAUAGUUUACAUAUAUCAGAAAUUUUAAAAGGUGAUUAGGAUGGAUUAAGAGUGAAACGGUGGUCACCAGGGGAUAGGGGGUAGGGGAAUAAGACUGAUGUUGUUCAAGGAUACAAACUUGCCUCAAGUAAUAAGUAAGCCAUAGAAAUCUCAUGCACAAUAUAAUGAAUAGUACAAUGUGAUAUUAUAAUUAUGUAACAUGAUAGAUGUUAUGUUAAAUAUGACUACAACAGCAAUCAUAAUACAAUAUGGAUAUAUAUAAAAUUCACACAAUGCACACCUUAAAUUUAUAUAGUUAUAUGUCAAAUACAUUCAGUUUUUUUAAAAAAUCAUGAUAAAAGUUUUAACUCAUAAUUUUAUAGCCUCAUAUAUUUAACAACCCUUUUCCUUUUGCUUUAUUAUAUUUUAUCCAUCCAAAAGAUAUUCAAGUGGUUUGAUCUUUAGUGUCAGAGAGUUAUAUUUUCAAUGUCCUUUCUAAGCUUUAAUUCCAUUGAUGAGUUUUCCAUGGAGAAAAAAAUUUCCGUCAAUCAUUCCAUCCAUUAUUAGUGAUUAAUUACCACUCCAAACUGGUUUAUUUUUUUCCAUUAAAAUUGAGCUGAUCUUGAGUUUCCUAGUUUCUAUGAUUUAACAUAAUUUAUAACAGCUCUCUUUCCUAGGACCUAACUUCCUUAUAUAAUUUAUAUGACUUUUAUUUACAAUUCAUAUUCGGGCAUUCUUCUUUAUAAUGUGCAUUUAAACUCUAUAUCUUAAUACUAGGCAUUGUUAUCACGUGUAGUCUUUUAUCGUGAGCAUCCUGUUUUGUUUUUAUUCCUCUUAAUAGUGAUUUGUCGUGUUUGUUCUAUAUUAUAAAGGAUCUUGAUUAUUUACAUUGUCAGUUUUGCAUAACUUACCUUGAAAUUAAUGUGCAUAAUUUUACUUCAUUCUGGUUUCAUGUUUGUCUCACACCAGGUAAAAUGGCAUAUAGCUUGUUAUUGCAGUUUAUCAAUAAUUAUUAAGAAUUAUUUGGUCACGAAUUCUGAUGAAAGUUUAUUUUGAGGGUGUAUAAAACUCAAAACAUAAUAAGCACAACCAGUUGGGUGGUGUCCACUUUAUGUUAGGCACUAGAUAUUUACAUACAUUCUGGAAAUGUGCUUUUUAGUUUACAUGGCUGGCUAAUUGUUUCAGUUUGCCACUUCUUCAUUAUCUAAGGAAAUUACACAAUUCCAAAAUAUUUCAGGAGGAGAUUCAUUAUUCAAAUUUGUUUGCAUAUUCACAAAUAACUGUUGAUUGGAUAUUUUUCAGAUUUGCUUGAAAUAGUUCAUCAAUGGAUCCAUUUGCCAAAUAAUCCUAAAAUAAAGCUUAUUUUGUCUUAAAUACAAAUCUGUGGGCUCAAAUUCCAGACAAAGCUAAUUAAAUAUAUUUCUAAAAGUCUGAUGCCAAGUAGAGUUUUUUUCUAACAUAGAAUAUUUAAUUUUACAUAAUGUGAGAAGUGUAACAUCCCAACAUUAUAUGAAUGCCAUUCUAAGAUUUAUAACAGUGUUUUUUUCCCUUCUUUCAAACCCUCUCACUUCCCCAGCUCCAGGAAAAGUGGUGAAUCUCACAGUUGAGGCCUUUAACCAUUCUGCAGUAAACCUGAUUUGGUAUUUACCUUGGCAACCAAAUGGCAAAAUUACCAGCUUCAAGAUUAGUGUCAAGCAUGCCAGAAGUGGGAUAGUAGUGAAAGAUGUCUCCAUCAGAGUAGAAGACAUUUUGACUGGGAAAUUGCCAGAAUGCAAUGUAAGUGUUAUGAACACUUUCUAUGUCUCAAAAAUUCUAGGUGAAAUUAUAACUUGAAGUUUCCAGCAUUUGAAAAAAAAAUUUUAAGCCACUGUGCUUAUUAGCUGCUUGAUUACUUAUAGUAUUAGGUUAUAGUAUCAUGUUAUACACAAUUGGCUGUAUUCAAGGUAGAAUAAGUGAAGGGUUUGAGAAUUCAAGAAAUAUAAAAACCUCACAGGGAUCUCUGGAGAGACUUCUUAAAAGGAGCCGCAUUUGUGAAUGGACCUUGGCUUGGCCUUGGAAUAAGGACAUGAGAGAUUGUGUGAGGGGGCUAUUUUGGGUGGAGGAUAUUUUAUAAAUACCUGAAAGAGCAAAGUAUAGGAUAUCGCUGAAAAAGAUAUUUCCAUGCGACAAGAGGGGAGCAGAAGGCAGCAAAGUUAUGUUUGUGGAAGUAGAUUGUUUUGGUUGUGCAUAUCUUUGGCAAAGAAUUUGUUAUUACUCUAGUCAUUUAUGGGAAUUCGCUGGGAAUACCGUGUCAUGCUCUUCCAAAGAUAAUUUUGGUGAUCUUUGUGGUAUUGAUAAACAAAAUUAUUUUGUUUUGAAUACUUUAAGUUACAAAAGUCUCAAAACCUCCUUUUAAUUUUUUAAAAAUGUUUAUUUAUUUACUUUGCAGCGGUUGGGGGGAGACAGAGAGAGAGGGAAAGAAACAAUCCAAGUAGGCUCUGCGCUGUCAGUGCAGAGCCCGAUGUGGUGCUCAAACCCACAAACCGUGAGAUCAUGACCUGAGCUGGAAUCAAGAGUCAGAUGCUUAACCAACUGAGCCACCCAGGCACCCCUAACAUGAAUUUUAAAAAUUCUUACUAAUAAUUUUGCUAUAGCUUUACCUUUAUUCUAAGCCUUUUGAAAUCCUAUUCAUAAGAAAUAUUAAGGUAUAAAGAAUACAAUAAAUAUAUUCUGUUCUAAAACUGUAGAUAUAAAUGGGUAAAGUUAAAAUCUAGCAAAUUUGUCCAUAACUUGAAUAGAUAACAAUCUGUUAAAAUCGUAAUGAAUCAUACACAUAAAUUUAAGAACAAUAUUUAUUAUAUAAAAGAAAAAGAAAUGAAUUACACUUAUCAUGUUCACCUUGAGAUACCAAUUAUUUUCCCAAUGCUAUUUAUUUAUUCACUAGGAGAAUAAUGAAUCUUUUUUAUGGAGUACCACCAGCCCUUCUCCAACCCUUGGUAGAAUUACACCUCCAUCACGUACCACAUAUUCUUUGAGCACGUUGGCAAGGAGUAAGAUAAGCUCUGUGUGGAAAGAGCCUAUAAGUUUUGUAGUGACACAUUUGAAACCUUAUACAACCUAUCUUUUUGAAGUUUCUGCUGUUACAACGGAAGCAGGUUAUAUUGAUAGUACCAUUGUCAGAACACCGGAAUCAG
rnacentral:lncRNA from 1 species